UGAAUACGAGAUGCUACGGCGUCGAAGCAGUCUAUGUCAUACUUCCAAGAAAAGCUUGCACUGUCAUAAACAAAUAAUGCCUGUACCAUAACCGACACAGGUGGGUAGGUAGAGUAUACUAAGGGGCGCGAGAUAACUCUCUCUAAGGAACUCGGCAAAAUGACUCCGUAACUUCGGGAGAAGGAGUGCCUUAUUUAUAAGGUUGCAAUAACAAGAUCCAAGCAACUGUUUACCAAAAACACAGGUCUCCGCUAAGUCGUAAGACGAUGUAUGGGGGCUGACGCCUGCCCAGUGCCAGAAGGUUAAAGAAGUUGGUUAGCAUCCGCGAAGCUGAUAACUGAAGCCCUGGUGAACGGCGGCCGUAACGAUAACGGUCCUAAGGUAGCGAAAUUCCUUGUCGGGUAAGUUCCGACCCGCACGAAAGGCGUAAUGAUUUGGAUACUGUCUCGGAGAGGGGCUCGGUGAAAUAGACUUGUCUGUGAAGAUGCGGACUACCUGCACCAGGACAGAAAGACCCUAUGAAGCUUUACUGUAACCUGAAAUUGAAAUUGGACUUUACUUGCGCAGUAUAGGUGGGAGGCGUUGAGAAUAUUCUUGCGGGAUUAUUGGAGCCAUCAGUGAGAUACCACUCUUCUAAUGUUAGAUUUCUAACUUUGUAUCAUUAUCUGGUCAAAGAACAGUUUCAGGCGGGCAGUUUGACUGGGGCGGUCGCCUCCUAAACGGUAACGGAGGCGCACAAAGGUUUCCUCUGAACGGGUAGAAAUCGUAUCUAGAGUGUAAAGGCAUAAGGAAGCUUGACUGUGAGACCUACAAGUCGAGCAGGGACGAGAGUCGGUCUUGGUGAUCUGACGGUGCUGAGUGGAAAGGCCGUCACUCAACGGAUAAAAGUUACUCUAAGGAUAACAGGCUGAUCUCCCCCAAGAGUUCACAUCGACGGGGAGGUUUGGCACCUCGAUGUCGGCUCAUCGCAUCCUGGGGCGGUAAUACGUCCCAAGGGUUGGGCUGUUCGCCCAUGAAAGCGGUACGCGAGCUGGGUUCAGAACGUCGUGAGACAGUUCGGUCCAUAUCCGGUGUAGGCGUUAGAAUAUUGAGAGGAGCCUUCUUUAGUACGAGAGGACCGAGAAGGACAUACCUCUGGUGUACCAGUUAUCGUGCCAACGGUAAACGCUGGGUAGCUAUGUGUGGAGUGGAUAACCGCUGAAAGCAUCUAAGUGGGAAGCCCACCUCAAGAUAAG
rnacentral:rRNA from 1 species